UACGAAGGGGGCUAGCGUUGCUCGGAAUGACUGGGCGUAAAGGGCGCGUAGGCGGCUUGCACCGUCAGAUGUGAAAUUCCUGGGCUUAACCUGGGGGCUGCAUUUGAUACGUGUGGGCUUGAGUGCGGAAGAGGGUCGUGGAAUUCCCAGUGUAGAGGUGAAAUUCGUAGAUAUUAGGAAGAACACCAGUGGCGAAGGCGGCUCACUGGCCCGGUACUGACGCUGAGGCGCGAAAGCGUGGGGAGCGAACAGG
rnacentral:rRNA from 1 species